rnacentral:lncRNA from 1 species
AAAAAAUUAAAUACAAAAGCAUUUUUAAAAAAAAAACACUAAGAGUUAGUGUUUACGAUUGUGUAAUUUAGGGUUUGAAGUUUGUUUUUACUCUUUUCAUUUGUUUUAUUUUGACUGGUCCCUAGAUUCACCUUUGAUUCUGUUGUGUAACCAAUUCAUAAUAAUUUAAUAUCUAAUUGUUAAAAAAAAAAAAUCAACGACUCAUAUUUCAACGGAGUAAACGCGAAGAAAGAUCAAUCAAGUGAGCUAUUUGGAAAUCAAAUUUUCUGAUUACGAACUUUCCUUGGAAC